GACGAACCGUGCGAACGUUGUUCGGAAUCACUGGGCUUAAAGGGCGCGUAGGCGGGCCCGCCAGUCUGUGGUGAAAGCCCCCGGCUCAACCGGGGAAGUGCCGUGGAUACUGCGGGCCUCGAGGGAGGUAGGGGCGUGUGGAACUUCCGGUGGAGCGGUGAAAUGCGUAGAUAUCGGAAGGAACGCCGGUGGCGAAAGCGACGCGCUGGACCUCUGCUGACGCUGAGGCGCGAAAGCCAGGGGAGCAAACGGGAUU
rnacentral:rRNA from 1 species